rnacentral:rRNA from 1 species
GUCGGUAAAACUCGUGCCAGCCACCGCGGUUAUACGAGAGACCCUAGUUGAUAGAUUACGGCGUAAAGAGUGGUUUAGAACAAAAAUAAAUAAAGCCAAAGGUCCUCCUGGCCGUCGCACGCAUUUCGAGGAUAUGAAGCCCCACUACGAAGGUAGCUUUACUAUAACUUUUCUGACCCCACGAAAGCUAAGAAACAAACUGGGAUUAGAUACCCCACUAUG